UUGAUCCUGGCUCAGGAUGAACGCUAGCGGCAGGCUUAACACAUGCAAGUCGAGGGGUAACGACUCCGUCUUCGGAUGGAGGUCGACGACCGGCGCACGGGUGAGUAACGCGUAUGCAACCUACCUUUUACAGGAGGAUAGCCCAGGGAAAUUUGGAUUAAUACUCCAUAGUACUAAUGAAUCACCUGGUUUAUUAGUUAAAACUCCGGUGGUAAAAGAUGGGCAUGCGUGUCAUUAGCUAGUUGGUAAGGUAACGGCUUACCAAGGCGAAGAUGACUAGGGGUUCUGAGAGGAAGAUCCCCCACACUGGUACUGAGACACGGACCAGACUCCUACGGGAGGCAGCAGUGAGGAAUAUUGGUCAAUGGGUGAGAGCCUGAACCAGCCAUGCCGCGUGAAGGAAGACUGCCCUAUGGGUUGUAAACUUCUUUCCUGCAGGAAGAAAUCACUCUACGUGUAGGGUGUUGCCGGUACUGCAGGAAUAAGCAUCGGCUAACUCCGUGCCAGCAGCCGCGGUAAUACGGAGGAUGCAAGCGUUAUCCGGAUUUAUUGGGUUUAAAGGGUGCGUAGGCGGGCUUGUAAGUCAGUGGUGAAAUGCUGUGGCUUAACCAUAGAAUUGCCAUUGAAACUGCAAGUCUUGAGUACAGUUGAGGUGGGCGGAAUGAGUAAUGUAGCGGUGAAAUGCAUAGAUAUUACUCAGAACUCCGAUUGCGUAGGCAGCUUGCUAAACUGUAACUGACGCUGAUGCACGAAAGCGUGGGGAGCGAACAGGAUUAGAUACCCUGGUAGUCCACGCUGUAAACGAUGAGCACUGGUUGUUGGCAAUACACCGUCAGCGACUGAGCGAAAGUAUUAAGUGCUCCAGCUGGGGAGUACGUCGGCAACGAUGAA
rnacentral:rRNA from 1 species